rnacentral:rRNA from 1 species
AUUGAACGCUGGCGGCAGGCCUAACACAUGCAAGUCGAACGGUAACAGGAAGCAGCUUGCUGCUUUGCUGACGGGUGGCGGACGGGUGAGUAAUGUCUGGGAAACUGCCUGAUGGAGGGGGAUAACUACUGGAAACGGUAGCUAAUACCGCAUAACGUCGCAAGACCAAAGAGGGGGACCUUCGGGCCUCUUGCCAUCGGAUGUGCCCAGAUGGGAUUAGCUAGUAGGUGGGGUAACGGCUCACCUAGGCGACGAUCCCUAGCUGGUCUGAGAGGAUGACCAGCCACACUGGAACUGAGACACGGUCCAGACUCCUACGGGAGGCAGCAGUGGGGAAUAUUGCACAAUGGGCGCAAGCCUGAUGCAGCCAUGCCGCGUGUAUGAAGAAGGCCUUUCGGGUUGUAAGUACUUUGCAGCGGGGAGGAAGGCGAUAAGGUUAAUAACCUUGUCGAUUGACGUUACCCGCAGAAGA